AACCUUAUGGACCUGCGGGCGUAUACCUGCGGAAGGAUCAUUAGAGUAAGAAAGAGGGAAAGGAGGUUUUUGGGCGCAACUUAGCUCAAACCAUUUUCCUUUUUAUCCAACUCAUUCCGGCCGAGAGUUUUCCGGUAGGGGGAUUCUCGGCCGUGGGGUGUUUGGGGGGGAGGAGGAGGAGGAGGAGAGAAGAAAAAAGGGGGGGGGAGAGGGGUAGGUAAGGAGGGGAGGAGGGAGGGA
rnacentral:misc_RNA from 1 species